AUAUUGGCGAGAGACCGAUAGCGAACAAGUACCGUGAGGCAAAGAUGAAAAGCACUUUGGAAAGAGAGUUAAACAGUACGUGAAAUUGUUAAAAGGGAAACGAUUGAAGUCAGUCGUGUCUGGGAGGCUCAGCCGGUUCUGCCGGUGUAUUCCUCUCAGACGGGUCAACAUCAGUUUUGUCCGACGGAUAAUGGCGGCGGGAAAGUAGCACCUCCGGGUGUGUUAUAGCCCGCUGUCGCAUACGCCGGAUGAGACUGAGGCAUGCAGCUCGCCUUUAUGGCAGGGGUUCGCCCACUUUCGAGCUUAGGAUGUUGACGUAAUGGCUUUAAACGACCCGUCUUGAAACACGGACC
rnacentral:rRNA from 1 species